GGGCCUGUAGCUCAGAGGAUUAGAGCACGUGGUUACGAACCACGGUGUCGGGGGUUCAACUCCCUCCUGGCUCA
rnacentral:tRNA from 4 species